CCUGGUCGGCCGUCUUUACAUUCGAUGUUCAACGUUGACGACUGCUCGGACUGUUUAGUCGCAGUGGCCACAAGGUCUGUAGGAGACUACAUAUUUUGUAACACAACCGGCGGGACGAAUCCAAAUGUGUUACUACAUAUUGGAAAGGAUAAAAUGCGUGUUCAACUGUUCAGCUUAUUAACGUUACAUCACUGACAGACGGAUAAUGGACUCGACAGGGUUUCUUAACAAAAAAGUCCCCCAUGGACAGAGGCAGCAGAGGUAGCGUACGUGAAAAUUGGGAUCUUCUUUUUGGAGAGAUGAGAGGGUGUGGUGUUGUCAAAAUUUCAACUAAACGCCGGGCAAAGUGGCAAGAGAUUGCCACUGUUGUAAGCCAUGAAUUUACAGCUCCACGUUCUUCGGAACAGUGCCGGAAAAAAAUUCAAAAUGUAAAAGGACGCUCCAUCAACAAAGUCAGUGGGCUGCGGCAUCCACCAACAGGAGGGGGACCAUCAGCUGUAUUGUCCGUGGCAGAGUCGUGUGUGGCAGACCA